UAAUUACAUUGGGCAGAUAACUGGUAUUCCGUUGAGGAAAAAUAACGCCAGUUUGCUUCUUGUUAUAGAAUCACAGGAAAAUGAGGAUGCAUGGCGUUGUGAAGCACGUAUGUUGUGCAUAUGUAAUUAGCCAACACGGAGCAAAGUAGCACUUACGAAAAUCUUACGGCUGGAGGGCCUUUGUAUGCAAGUACGUGAACUGAUUUUUUUAGAUGGGAAUCCAAAUGAUUCUCUCAUCCUCCGCAAUUUGGAAAAGUAAGAAUAACUCGAACGAACGGAGUCAUAAGUUUGGUGGAUGUGAUUACGAUUAUUAACAAGUAAAGCUUAUUGCACUGAAUAUUAAUCUGCCCGUCUACCCCAAUCUCAUCGAGAUAGAAAGCACAUUAGAUGUUCCCUCGUGAACUGAUAAAAGUUUGAUAUCUCAAAUUUCAUCAUCAACGGCAAUAAUGUACAGAGUGCCGUGCGAUAAAUGCUCAGAAGUUAAUAACAAGAGCAGCGAUGAGAGGACUCGUCGUCUCGCUGCAUGUUUCGUGAAACUCCUGCCUGGUGGUAAAUUAAGUAUGAAUCAUCUUCACGUACUUACAUAUAGCUCCAUUUACUUAAGUAGUUAGUAGCACUGCAUACAUACAUAUUUAUUAUUAUUAUACUUAUGUAUGUAUGUGGUAUAUUAUUAUAGUUGAGAGUUGUGAGGUAGCGUGGCAUGUAAUAUUAUGUAACCACAUACAUGGACUCGCAAGCAGACAGAACGUUGGUGCAGAUUGUGUGCAACCAACUUAAAUUAUAUUUUUCGGUUGGUCGAUUGGAUGUCAGGGCUUAAUCGCAAUGGGUAAUGGGUUUGGUUUGGAAACUUUUGAUGGUCGAUAAGACUUGGAGUCUAAGUUACACUCUUUAGUUGAAGGCACGUUCAGCGUAAUCUCUUCAUCAAGAUAAGUUAUGUGAGCAAUAUCUUUUCCUGCUCCUAUAGUGGCUCGAUAAUGUAAGUAAAAUAAACUGCUACAAUUUUCCAUCCGUGUAAUGCCUGUGUAGUUCCAAAGUUUGUACAUAGUUUCAUUGUGAUCAAUUUGGUUAACGUUGAGAGGGAAUUUUCCUUCUAAAAGUACGAUGCUCCUUGGUAAACAGAUUUCACAAAGUUAUUACAGCAGCCGAAGGAAACGUCAAAAUGGAAACAAAUGGUGCUUUGAGAAAGACGAUAAUAUUCCGUGGUGAUUGAUAACCCAGACACAAACUCUUAGAUUUUAAGAUAAAGCAUGAAAUCUUAAAGCGCAGCAGAACAAAUUGGACUAGGCGGGUUCACAGCGUGAUGCCAACAAAACAAAUAUAAGAUCGGAAUAUGAAACCAACCAGAUCACAAGUACCACGAAGGGUGGUUACAGUACGUACAAAAGUACAUAUUUAUAUUCAUUCGACGUUUAUCUCUUCCUGCACAGGAAGUUAGUCAAGAGUAGAUUCCCUUCGGAGAAAAAAAUAGCUAAAUAUGCACAUGCAUGGUCGUCCAAGUUCAAGAAGGAACAAAAUUACUUUUUUUUCUCUUCAACGCGACGACUCGUACUAAAAAUUUGAUGAUUAAAAUAAAAACACGACACGUUAUUUUAUGACAAUCUGGCUGGAAUUAUUAUAAGGACAUUUUUUGCCUCCUACGUACGUCUUCUCUUGUCGUAAGUACAUACAUCAACCGAACUUCCAAGUUAAAUUGCUUUUUUCAGUAUAUGCCAAAGAUUAGGCUGUUGGGAGGGAAGACCACCCCCUCGUCUCCUUCACAUCUAGCGUCUCUCAGAGCAUCAGGGUGCGUGCCUAAUUUAAUAAAGAGUUGAUGAUGUGGGGAAAGUAAGUUUGAGUGGAAAUAAAUUUUGGCACUUUGGAGACUGAUGAUGUGAUUUUUCGACACAUGGAAGGUACGCGAGUAUGGAUGGAUGUUGAGUGAAUGUGGGUGAUAGAUAUUAAACAUGGGAAAUGGGGAAAAUCUCGUGGAGUGUAAUAAAUUGUUUGGCAAAAGAGAAGACAUGGAAAAAUCAAGUUGUUAUCAGGACAGUGGCAGCCUCUCCCAGUGUUUUCUGUCUUCUUGGAUGUUCAGAAAGUGUCUUCUUGGAUGAAAAAUCUGCGAGCAAUCGAGUGUGGAUAUCAAUAGCAAACACCAAACAUAAAUUUGGUGUACACUACUUUCUCCUCUCGUGUAAUGCAUACAGGAGGGAGCAGAUCACACAUGAGGAACACUGCGGCUCCUCCGCAUUCUUCGCGAGAUGAGCCUCGGAUGUUAACACAUCUCCCUCCGUACACAUCCCACUUUCUUUAUUAUCUCUCAUCCUCCGUCUCAGCUUUCUCGUGCAGCCUGCUCGUGCCCCCGUCCUCCCUCUCCGCCCAAUCUCAUCCGCCAACCAGCCAACCCACCCAGCUCGCGUCGAUAUAUUUAUAAAUAUCACAUGAAAUACAUAUCCUCCACAAGUGACUUGCAGCCACCAAUACACCACUCUUGCCUAUUAACUAAAUAAACCAAUCCAUGUUUUCCCUCCUCAAUCUGUCUCUCACAGCAGCCUUUCUCCCACACCACGGCUUUCAUCUAAAUUCCUGAUCAGAAAUUCAGUUUUCUUUCCAACAUUACUUUUCUUUCGUGACUUGAUGCAAGAUUGUUUUCUUUAAGACGACUUUUCCUGGAUGGGCACAAGAGCUCAAUCUAUAAACAUGUGCUAAACAAUAAUUGCUUCCCUUUGUUCAAAUGCUCUUUACUGAAAACAUGAUAAAAAUUCUUUUUUCGCUUCGUUGCUCCAAAUCUUGCUCCGUAUCUUGUCUACAUAGUCACCAUUAUAGGCAUGUGCGUAUGUAUUACAUGACUGGGGGCAACUUGAGAAUGUUGCGACUUUUCCUUUCCCCUCUUUCUUUCUACUCAUCUUUCUAUUCAUUGUACCCAAUCUUCACCAUAUUCCAUGUAUAGAGUGCAUGCUUGUUGUAUUACUAUUAUUACUAUUAUUAUUAUUACUAUUACUUGGUAAAGUAGAGGGAAAUAUACGGCGCAGUCCUUUUCUUGAAUACAGACUGUUGUGCUAUUUAUAAAGAAAAUUUAGAAUCGGUCUCCUUUGCAUAAAGAAUUUUUGAUGAACAAUAUGGGCUGAUUUGCCAUGUUGCUCACGCUCACGCUAAUCAUUGCAAGUUCUGAUGACAUUUUAAAUAUAAAUUAGUUUAAAGU